rnacentral:rRNA from 1 species
UACAGAGGUCUCAAGCGUUGUUCGGAUUCAUUGGGCGUAAAGGGUGCGUAGGCGGCGCGGUAAGUCGGGUGUGAAAUCUUGGAGCUUAACUCCGAAACUGCAUUCGAUACUGCCGUGCUUGAGGACUGGAGAGGAGACUGGAAUUUACGGUGUAGCGGUGAAAUGCGUAGAUAUCGUAAGGAAGACCAGUGGCGAAGGUGGGUCUCUGGACAGUUUCCUGACGCUGAGGCACGAAGGCCAGGGAGCAAAACGGGG